rnacentral:rRNA from 1 species
ACAGAGGCGGCAAGCGUUGUUCGGAAUUAUUGGGCGUAAAGAGCAUGUAGGCGGCUAUGUAAGUCGGUUGUGAAAGCCUUCCGCUUAACGGAAGAAUGGCGGUCGAAACUGCAUGGCUUGAGUGCGGGAGGGGAGAGUGGAACUUCUGGUGGAGCGGUGAAAUGCGUAGAUAUCAGAAGGAACAUCGGCGGCGAAAGCGACUCUCUGGCCCGUAACUGACGCUGAGACGCGAGAGCGUGGGGAGCAAACAG